rnacentral:rRNA from 1 species
UCGUACGAGAGUUUUUAACUUAAGUGGCGGACGGGUGAGUAACACGUAAGAAUUUACCUUUAGGAGGGUGGUAACAGCUGGAAACGGUUGCUAAUACCCCAUAUGCUUUCGAGUGAAAUGGAUUUCUGCCUAAAGAGAAGCUUGCGGCUGAUUAGCUUGUUGGUGAGGUAAUGGCUCACCAAGGCGACGAUCAGUAUCUGGUUUGAGAGGAUGAUCAGACACACUGGAACUGAGACACGGUUCAGACUCCUGCGGGAGGCAGCAGUGGGGAAUUUUCCGCAAUGGGCGAAAGCCUGACGGAGCAAUACCGCGUGAAGGAUGACUGCCUAUGGGUUGUAAACUUCUUUUUUCAGGGAGGAAUUAAUGACGUGUACCUGAAGAAUAAGCAUCGGCUAACUCCGUGCCAGCAGCCGCGGUAAGACGGAGGAUGCAAGUGUUAUCCGGAAUCACUGGGCGUAAAGCGUCUGUAGGUGGUCUAACAAGUCAACUGUUAAAUCUUGAGGCUCAACCUCAAAACUGCAGUUGAAACUGCUAAACUAGAGUAUAGUAGGGGUAAAGGGAAUU